UACGUAGGGUGCAAGCGUUAAUCGGAAUUACUGGGCGUAAAGCGUGCGCAGGCGGCUUUGCAAGACAGAUGUGAAAUCCCCGGGCUCAACCUGGGAACUGCAUUUGUGACUGCAUGGCUUGAGUGCGGCAGAGGGGGAUGGAAUUCCGCGUGUAGCAGUGAAAUGCGUAGAUAUGCGGAGGAACACCGAUGGCGAGGGCAAUCCCCUGGGCCUGCACUGACGCUCAUGCACGAAAGCGUGGGGAGCAAACAGG
rnacentral:rRNA from 1 species